UUGGAGUUUCCAAAAGCCAACUUUAUCUCUGCAUAACUCAGACAGGAAGUCUGUCAACUAUAAAAGGGGUUGGAAUUCUUUUCACAAUAAAAGAGUUGAAAUUUGGAACAGUUGGGGACAAAAGGAAGGAAACUCUAGCAGCAGCUAAAAAUGGUGAUCCAGAGGUUGGAAUUAUGCAUAGAACUACUGAACCUUGUAAUUGAGUUCGUGGUGGUCUUUAUCAACGCUGUUGGAAUGGUUGUCGAUCAAACCACCUCGCUGCAUCUCUUUGCUUCCAAUCCAGCUUAUACCGUUCCAGCUCCAUAUGUCGGUCUUCUUCCUUAAAUCCUUUUUUUGCCACCAAAAUAUGUCUAGGAGAGCCCUUGUGCGUGUGCUGUUUCAGUAAUGUAUAGCAGAGCUUGUAUCUUCCAUUUUCAAGAUUGUAUCACGUCUGUCCAUCUUUGUGGUGCAUAUGCAUUUUGUCUCGAUGUACCUUUGCACAUAAAUUGAGAUUUAUACUUGAAGUUUUUGCAUUUGCAUUAGCUUGUCAUUUCCCCGGCAAAAUUUGUUAGGAAAUGUCACUGCUAAGGUGAUUUGGGCCCGUUUCGUUUCUUCUUGUUUCUUCAGGACAGUAAUGGCUUCCAAGUUCUAAAUUGUUAUUGUUUUUCAGUGCAAUAAAGAAUGCUUUCACCUGCAAGAUGGUUGCUAUGUUUGAUAAGCAGAAUGCUUGGUUUAUUAGUUUGUUACCGCUGACAAUAUGUAGUAUAUCUUAACUAAGGACCGAAAAUCAGAAAAGACUUGGCAGUUUCGGGAUGAAUGGUCAAUAUGGGCGGUGCAUAGGCCUCUGCCUCUAUGGCUCUAUCAGGAUCAUAAUACUCUGGCUUCUGUAGAAUGACAAAGAGUUGGUAUGUUCUUUGCAUUCAAAAGGAGGACUCAUAUGAGCGAGAUUCGCAAGAGUUGGCAUAUUCUGAAAGGAAUUUUGCUCAUUUUUUAGCUCCAAUUACAUACAAAAUUUGCACUCUUCGGCAAUCAGCAUUUCAAAGCGUCACUGUGGAUAUAACUUCGUCCUUUGUCUCUAUCCAUUUGUUCAAGUUAACGAAGAAGCCUAUGUCAUUGUAUUAUUGCAGGUGAGAUUCUUUAAGCUCCACCUCCUAGGCGGACGUUUUCCACUGAAUGAAGAGGAAGAAUGUAACACCAAACAUUCUUGAAGCAUGGCAGUGUUGGUGAAUUCUCGCUUACUUUACUGUAGGGCCUUAGUUGCAGAAUGUAUACUUCUUGCAUUAACAUUUUAUUGAUUGCUGAAGCAUGUGGUCUAGCUCAGCAGAUAUUGACAGCUUAUUCUAUCCUUUUCCAUUAGAAAAGAGGAAAAAGCUUUUCAAUAGAGGAGCAAAAUUGUGUAUUACUUGGAAGACUUGAAUACCAUAAAAGUCCAUUUCAGUGAC